rnacentral:tRNA from 3 species
GGCUCCUUGGUCAAGUGGUUAAGACACCGCCCUUUCACGGCGGUAACACGGGUUCGAGUCCCGUAGGAGUCACCA